CAGCCGCCGCGGUAAUACGUAGGUGGCAAGCGUUGUCCGGAAUCAUUGGGCGUAAAGCGCGCGCAGGCGGUCCUUUAAGUCUGAUGUGAAAUCUUGCGGCUCAACCGUAAGCGGUCAUUGGAAACUGGGGGACUUGAGUGCAGGAGAGGAAAGCGGAAUUCCAUGUGUAGCGGUGAAAUGCGUAGAUAUCGGGAGGAACACCAGUGGCGAAGGCGGCCUCCUGGCCCGUUCCUGACGCUGAGACCCGAAAGCGUGGGGAGCAAACCGGAUUAGAUCCCCGGGUAGUCCACGCCGUAAACGGUGGGCACUAGGUGUGGGGGGUUAAUCCCUCCGUGCCGAAGCUAACGCAUUAAGUGCCCCGCCUGGGGAGUACGGCCGCAAGGUUGAAACUUAAAGGAAUUGGCGGG
rnacentral:rRNA from 1 species